rnacentral:rRNA from 1 species
UACGUAGGGUGCAAGCAUUGUCCGGAUUUAUUGGGCGUAAAGAGCUCGUAGGCGGCUUGUCACGUCGGAUGUGAAAACUCGGGGCUCAACCCCGAGCCUGCAUUCGAUACGGGCUAGCUAGAGUGUUGCAGGGGAGACUGGAAUUCCUGGUGUAGCGGUGAAAUGCGCAGAUAUCAGGAGGAACACCGGUGGCGAAGGCGGGUCUCUGGGCAACUACUGACGCUGAGGAGCGAAAGCGUGGGGAGCAAACAGG